UACGAAGGGGGCUAGCGUUGCUCGGAAUCACUGGGCUUAAAGGGCGCGUAGGCGGACGGUCAAGUCAGGGGUGAAAUCUUUCAGCUCAACUGGAAAAGUGCCUCUGAUACUGAUCGUCUCGAGGGAGGUAGGGGCAUGUGGAACUUCCGGUGGAGCGGUGAAAUGCGUAGAUAUCGGAAGGAACGCCGGUGGCGAAAGCGACGUGCUGGACCUCUUCUGACGCUGAGGCGCGAAAGCCAGGGGAGCGAACGGG
rnacentral:rRNA from 1 species